rnacentral:rRNA from 1 species
UACGUAGGGUGCAAGCGUUAAUCGGAAUUACUGGGCGUAAAGCGUGCGCAGGCGGCUUUGCAAGACAGAUGUGAAAUCCCCGGGCUUAACCUGGGAACUGCAUUUGUGACUGCAUGGCUGGAGUGCGGCAGAGGGGGAUGGAAUUCCGCGUGUAGCAGUGAAAUGCGUAGAUAUGCGGAGGAACACCGAUGGCGAAGGCAAUCCCCGUGGGCCUGCACCUGG